UGCCCAGCAACUCCUAUCCCUAUCUCCUCGCGGUACUGGCCGGGACACGGGUAACCAACCCCGGUGGGAGCUUUGGUCGUAUGCUGACAGGUAAGG
rnacentral:ribozyme from 1 species